rnacentral:other from 1 species
UUUCCCCUGCCUUGUUAGUGAUCUGGGAGAGUGUCUCGAGCCAACAUUUAGAUUAAGGGCGACUUUGCUAUUUCUGGAAAGGAAUCCAUUUUGUGGAAUUCCUUAAAAGGAAUACAAGUACCGCCCACCUAACGUAGUUAGGUUCGAUGUCGCUGCCUGACACUUCAAUGGCGGGGGAUUU